rnacentral:lncRNA from 1 species
GUGUGAAAUUUGCUAAUUAGAAUUAUCCAUACAUUUAUAUAUGCUAAAAGCCAAUGCAACACAUGACAGUUGACCACCAACUAAACAAAAAGUAGUUGAUACAAUUUGAUACGUGAUCUUGAAGUCAAAGUUUAAAAGAAAAGACUGAAUAAAUAGAUAUUUGGAAAUGUCAUCAGAGUGCAGUCUUCAUUGUAACCACUUACAACCCCAACCC